GACGAACGCUGGCGGCGUGCUUAACACAUGCAAGUCGAACGGUAAGGCUCCAGCUUGCUGGGGUACACGAGUGGCGAACGGGUGAGUAACACGUGGGUGACCUGCCCUGCACUUCGGGAUGAGCCUGGGAAACUGGGUCUAAUACCGGAUAGGACCGCACCGUGAGGGUGUGGUGGAAAGUUUUUUCGGUGUGGGAUGGGCCCGCGGCCUAUCAGCUUGUUGGUGGGGUAAUGGCCUACCAAGGCGGCGACGGGUAGCCGGCCUGAGAGGGUGGACGGCCACAUUGGGACUGAGACACGGCCCAGACUCCUACGGGAGGCAGCAGUGGGGAAUAUUGCACAAUGGGCGGAAGCCUGAUGCAGCGACGCCGCGUGGGGGAUGACGGCCUUCGGGUUGUAAACUCCUUUCACCAUCGACGAAGGGUUUCUGACGGUAGAUGGAGAAGAAGCACCGGCUAACUACGUG
rnacentral:rRNA from 1 species